rnacentral:rRNA from 1 species
AGUGACAAGAAAUAACAAUACAGGACUUUUUGGUUUUGUGAUUGGAAUGAGUUAAGUAUAAACCCCUUUACAAGUAUCAAUUGGAGGGCAAGUCUGGUGCCAGCAGCCGCGGUAAUUCCAGCUCCAAUAGCGUAUAUUAAAGUUGUUGCAGUUAAAAAGCUCGUAGUUGGAUUUCUGUUAAUAAUUUAUAUAUUAUACUUUUUAAGGUGUUUAUAUAAUAUUAACAUAAUUCAUAUUACUGUAUUUUUUUAGUAUAUGAAAUUUUACUUUGAGAAAAUUAGAGUGCUUAAAGCAGG